rnacentral:rRNA from 1 species
AUUGAACGCUGGCGGCAUGCCUUACACAUGCAAGUCGAACGGCAGCACGGGAGCUUGCUCCUGGUGGCGAGUGGCGAACGGGUGAGUAAUGCAUCGGAACGUGCCCUGAAGUGGGGGAUAACGUAGCGAAAGUUACGCUAAUACCGCAUAUUCUGUGAGCAGGAAAGCAGGGGACCGCAAGGCCUUGCGCUCUUUGAGCGGCCGAUGUCAGAUUAGCUAGUUGGUGAGGUAACGGCUUACCAAGGCGACGAUCUGUAGCGGGUCUGAGAGGAUGAUCCGCCACACUGGAACUGAGACACGGUCCAGACUCCUACGGGAGGCAGCAGUGGGGAAUUUUGGACAAUGGGGGCAACCCUGAUCCAGCCAUGCCGCGUGAGUGAAGAAGGCCUCGGGUUGU